UGAAGCCUACUGUUGAACCAAAAACUUACCUAUCGGUUGACGAACCGCAAUCCGCGAAUCGACGAUGACAACAUCAGUUAUGGGGGCGGCCCUCGAAUAAGAGUAACAUGGACAAUGGGUACAAUGAACAAUGAUUACGAUGACAAUAGUGUCAUGGAGGAAACAGUGAUUAGCUGACGACAACACCAAUAAUUGUAGUACCAGUACUACGGAGAGGGUCUUUAUAGUAAUUUGGUUUUAUUCAGCGUAGUUUAAUGAUAAAAUUCUGUAUAGUAAGUUGUUCACAUAUUCUAUGCAUUGAUUGCAUUGUGUGUUCCGGACCACGAUUGAUAAGAGGGCUCCGUGACGUAAUCGCAGCAGCAGGCUCGACGAUAGUCCGCUAUGCGUAUCAGCGAAAUUCCUAGUCCACGGCGUGAUGAUGAUGAUGUCACAAUUCACGAUUUUUUUUUGAUAUUAUUAUUUUGAAAUGUUUUUCUCGAGAGCGUCGUCCUAGUACGGUACUGCGGUGUAAAGCUGUUGUUACUAUUGCAGUUGUCGUAGUUGUAGCUAGGUACGUGCGUACUGCGUUAGUAGUAACGGGGCGAAAACAUAUAUUUUGUGCGCCACUAACCGCCGCUAAUUCUCCUUCAACGCUUUUUCGUUAACUUGGUCCCGUUUAUAUUUUUUCACCGUCACACCUCAGUCUUGUUUCUAUUCUCGUUCUACCUGAUGUGCUUGCAAUGAACGGGAUGACGUUCAGCGAGUUGAUGUACCUGUUUUGCUGCCCACCCCUGCCAUCCCGCAUCGCCGCCAAACUUGCGUUCCUUCCACCGCCAAUCACCUACGACUUCACGCCGGUCGACAGCGGCGAGACCAAAUAUCAUAUCAAGUUCAACGAUAAGGCUGAGUGGCAGUACACUGACAGUGACGUGCAGAACAUUGAAGGAUUCUAUGCUCGCACGUCCCGUGGCAAUCGCAUAGCUUGCAUAUUCGUACGAUGCUGCCCUAAUGCCCGGUACACCAUACUGUUUUCUCACGGAAACGCUGUCGACUUAGGUCAGAUGAGCAGUUUCUACUUAGGACUAGGCAUGAGAAUCAACUGCAACAUAUUUAGCUACGAUUAUUCCGGCUACGGCAUCAGCAAAGGUAAGCCGAGCGAGAGAGAUCUGUAUGCUGAUAUUGAUGCUGCUUGGCAAACAUUAAGAACUACCUAUGGUAUUAGCCCCGAGAACAUAAUACUGUAUGGUCAAAGUAUUGGUACUGUACCCACUGUCGAUUUAGCGUCUAGAUAUGAAGUGGGAGCUGUAGUCCUUCAUUCACCAUUGACAUCCGGCAUAAAAGUAGCAUUUCCUAGAUCUAAAAGGAAAUGGUUUUUUGAUGUGUUUACCAGCAUUGAUAAGGUAUCAGAAGUUAACUCCCCAGUGCUCGUCAUACAUGGAACACAUGACGAAGUAAUUGAUUUUUCACAUGGUGUUGCUAUUUAUGAAAAAUGUCCUAAAGCAGUUCCACCACUAUGGGUUGAGGGUGCUGGACACAAUGAUGUAGAAUUGCAUAAUGUUUAUUUGGAAAGACUUAAACAAUUUGUUACAACUGAACUGCUCAACUGACAUUUAAUUGAAAAAAAAGAUGCAGAUACAUCGAAUGGACAAUCGCCCAAUCUGGUAACUAAUGGCUCAGCGACUGAGAAAUUACUUUGUUUUAGGUGCAAAUUCAGAACACCAAGAAGUAAACAACUCUAAUGAUCUACCAAAAUGGACAACAAUGGUUACUAAUUUUAAGGUGCUAAAAUCAAGUGAUUUAAAUGCAUUUUGUGUUGUCCAAAAGAAAAACACAUUUCUACCUUUAAAUUAUCAAAAUCAU